UACGGAGGGUGCAAGCGUUAAUCGGAAUUACUGGGCGUAAAGCGUGUGUAGGCGGUUUGUUAAGUCUGUUGUGAAAGCCCCGGGCUCAACCUGGGAAUGGCAAUGGAUACUGGCAAGCUAGAGUGUGAUAGAGGAUGGUGGAAUUCCCGGUGUAGCGGUGAAAUGCGUAGAGAUCGGGAGGAACAUCAGUGGCGAAGGCGGCCAUCUGGAUCAACACUGACGCUGAGACACGAAAGCGUGGGGAGCAAACAGG
rnacentral:rRNA from 1 species